rnacentral:rRNA from 1 species
UGCCAGCCGCCGCGGUAAUACAGAGAGUGCGAACGUUGUUCGGAAUUACUGGGCUUAAAGAGUACGUAGGCGGCAUAACAAGUGUCAGGUGAAAUCCCACGGCUCACCCGUGGAACUGCCUGGCAAACUGUUAAGCUAGAGUGUGGUAGGGGAGAACAGAACUCAUGGUGGAGCGGUGAAAUGCGUAGAUAUCAGGAGGAACACCGAUGGCGAAGGCAGCUCUCUGGACCGAGACUGACGCUGAGGCGCGAAGGCGUGGGUAGCGAACGGGAUUAGAUA